rnacentral:rRNA from 1 species
AUGAAGAGUUUUUAUGAAAAAGUGAGGAUCAAGAUUGCUUGCAGGAACCCAGCAAAAAACCCCUUUGAGAGAAUUAUGGAAAUGAGGAAAAAGUUGUAUAUCCUGUCAUUUACAAUGGAGGGCUUUGAGCAGAUAGGUGCUAAUGAUCCUAAUGAUGACAAUGGCCCUACUGACAUAUCUGUGGAUGAUGAUAAUAAGGAGUUUGAAGAUGAGGAGAUUGACAAGGAUAUCUUGGAUGAUGGAGAAGAACCGAUAGAUGAUCUGGACCUGGCCAACAGGGCCACCAACCCGAAGAAAUCCCCAGCUGGAAAACAAACAAACAAAGAAUAUGGCAUUACAUUCCAUCAUGCUGCUCUGAUUGAUGCCUGUUACUCUCCUGUGAGAGUUGAUAAAUAG